UUCCGGACAGGAGCGGCCGACGAUACGACGAGGCUUGUAUUCACCACCCCAUGUCGGGACGCUCCUCGCGUCCUUUGCUCGGAUUUCGGCCAACCGCGUGCGGUAACACUCGGGAGACCAGCUUCCGUCCCUUAUCCCCGAGAGGAUGGGGGGACGACGGUUUUGUGACACCCAGGCAGACGUGCCCUCGGGCASAAGGCUUAGGGCGCAACUUGCGUUCAAAGACUCGAUGGUUCACGGGAUUCUGCAAUUCACACCAAGUAUCGCAUUUCGCUACGUUCUUCAUCGAUGCGAGAGCCGAGAUAUCCGUUGCCGAGAGUCGUUUUAUACUUUGGAUCGWGCACAGCAUCCGCGCAAACACCGUCUCCGGGCAGGCGGACGCAGGCUGUUCUGUUGCAUGUUCCUUGACACUUUUCGUGCCGGGGU
rnacentral:misc_RNA from 1 species